rnacentral:rRNA from 1 species
UACAGAGGGUGCAAGCGUUGUUCGGAAUCAUUGGGCGUAAAGGGCUUGUAGGCGGUUCGUUAAGUCUGGUGUGAAAUCUCCCGGCUCAACCGGGAGGGGUCAUCGGAUACUGGCGGACUAGAGACAGGUAGAGGAAAGCAGAAUUCCCGGUGUAGCGGUGAAAUGCGUGGAUAUCGGGAGGAAUACCAGUGGUGAAGGCGGCUUUCUGGGCCUGUUCUGACGCUGAGGAGCGAAAGCGUGGGGAGCAAACCGG